UACGGAGGAUCCGAGCGUUAUCCGGAUUUAUUGGGUUUAAAGGGAGCGUAGGCGGCCUGUUAAGUCAGGGGUGAAAGACGGUGGCUCAACCAUCGCAGUGCCUUUGAUACUGACAGGCUUGAAUGUAGUUGAGGUGGGCGGAAUGUGACAAGUAGCGGUGAAAUGCUUAGAUAUGACAUAGAACACCAAUUGCGAAGGCAGCUUACUACACAAUUAUUGACGCUGAGGCACGAAAGCGUGGGGAUCAAACAGG
rnacentral:rRNA from 1 species